UAGGGAAUCUUCGGCAAUGGACGAAAGUCUGACCGAGCAACGCCGCGUGAGUGAAGAAGGUUUUCGGAUCGUAAAACUCUGUUGUUAGAGAAGAACAAGGACGUUAGUAACUGAACGUCCCCUGACGGUAUCUAACCAGAAAGCCACGGCUAACUACGUGCCAGCAGCCGCGGUAAUACGUAGGUGGCAAGCGUUGUCCGGAUUUAUUGGGCGUAAAGCGAGCGCAGGCGGUUUCUUAAGUCUGAUGUGAAAGCCCCCGGCUCAACCGGGGAGGGUCAUUGGAAACUGGGGGACUUGAGUGCAGAAGGGGAGGGUGGAAUUCCAUGUGUAGGGGUGGAAUGAGUAGGUAGAUGGAGGAACAACAGUGGCGAAGGCCGCCCUCUGGGCUGUAAACGACGCUGAGGGUCGAAAGCGUGGGGAGCAAACAGG
rnacentral:rRNA from 1 species